rnacentral:rRNA from 1 species
AGAGUUUGAUCCUGGCUCAGGACGAACGCUGGCGGCGUGCUUAACACAUGCAAGUCGAACGGAAAGGCCCUGCUUUUGUGGGGUGCUCGAGUGGCGAACGGGUGAGUAACACGUGAGUAACCUGCCCUUGACUUUGGGAUAACUUCAGGAAACUGGGGCUAAUACCGGAUAGGAGCUCCUGCUGCAUGGUGGGGGUUGGAAAGUUUCGGCGGUUGGGGAUGGACUCGCGGCUUAUCAGCUUGUUGGUGGGGUAGUGGCUUACCAAGGCUUUGACGGGUAGCCGGCCUGAGAGGGUGACCGGUCACAUUGGGACUGAGAUACGGCCCAGACUCCUACGGGAGGCAGCAGUGGGGAAUAUUGCACAAUGGGCGGAAGCCUGAUGCAGCAACGCCGCGUGCGGGAUGACGGCCUUCGGGUUGUAAACCGCUUUCGCCUGUGACGAAGCGUGAGUGACGGUAAUGGGUAAAGAAGCACCGGCUAACUACGUGCCAGCAGCCGCGGUGAUACGUAGGGUGCGAGCGUUGUCCGGAUUUAUUGGGCGUAAAGGGCUCGUAGGUGGUUGAUCGCGUCGGAAGUGUAAUCUUGGGGCUUAACCCUGAGCGUGCUUUCGAUACGGGUUGACUUGAGGAAGGUAGGGGAGAAUGGAAUUCC